UGCAAGUCGAGCGAACUGAUUAGAAGCUUGCUUCUAUGACGUUAGCGGCGGACGGGUGAGUAACACGUGGGCAACCUGCCUGUAAGACUGGGAUAACUUCGGGAAACCGAAGCUAAUACCGGAUAGGAUCUUCUCCUUCAUGGGAGAUGAUUGAAAGAUGGUUUCGGCUAUCACUUACAGAUGGGCCCGCGGUGCAUUAGCUAGUUGGUGAGGUAACGGCUCACCAAGGCAACGAUGCAUAGCCGACCUGAGAGGGUGAUCGGCCACACUGGGACUGAGACACGGCCCAGACUCCUACGGGAGGCAGCAGUAGGGAAUCUUCCGCAAUGGACGAAAGUCUGACGGAGCAACGCCGCGUGAGUGAUGAAGGCUUUCGGGUCGUAAAACUCUGUUGUUAGGGAAGAACAAGUACGAGAGUAACUGCUCGUACCUUGACGGUACCUAACCAGAAAGCCACGGCUAACUACGUGCCAGCAGCCGCGGUAAUACGUAGGUGGCAAGCGUUAUCCGGAAUUAUUGGGCGUAAAGCGCGCGCAGGCGGUUUCUUAAGUCUGAUGUGAAAGCCCACGGCUCAACCGUGGAGGGUCAUUGGAAACUGGGGAACUUGAGUGCAGAAGAGAAAAGCGGAAUUCCACGUGUAGCGGUGAAAUGCGUAGAGAUGUGGAGGAACACCAGUGGCGAAGGCGGCUUUUUGGUCUGUAACUGACGCUGAGGCGCGAAAGCGUGGGGAGCAAACAGGAUUAGAUCCCCUGGCAGUCCACGCCGUUAACCCAUGAGUGCCCAAUUGUUA
rnacentral:rRNA from 2 species